rnacentral:rRNA from 1 species
CCUACGGGGGGCAGCCGUGGGGAAUAUUGGGCAAUGGGCGCAAGCCUGCCCCAGCAACGCCGCGUGAAGGAAGAAGGCUUUCGGGUUGUAAACUUCUUUUCUCAGGGACGAAGCAAGUGACGGUACCGGAGGAAUAAGCCACGGCUAACCACGUGCCAGCAGCCGCGGUAAUACGUAGGUGGCAAGCGUUAUCCGGAUUUAAUGGGUGUAAAGGGCGAGUAGGCGGGAAAGCAAGUCAGAUGUGAAACCCAUGGGCUCAACCUGUGGCCUGCAUUUGAAACUGUUUUUCGUGGGUACUGGAGAGGCAGACGGAAUUCCUAGUGUAGCUGUGAAAUGCGGAGAUAUUAGGAGGAACACCAGUGGCGAAGGCGGUCUGCUGGACAGCAACUGACGCUGAGGCGCGAAAGCGUGGGGAGCAAACAGGAUUAGAUACCCGGGUAGUC